rnacentral:rRNA from 1 species
CUCAGGAUGAACGCUAGCUACAGGCUUAACACAUGCAAGUCGAGGGGCAGCAUGAACUUAGCUUGCUAAGUUGAUGGCGACCGGCGCACGGGUGAAGUAACACGUAUCCAACCUUCCGUUUACUCAGGGAUAGCCUUUCGAAAGAAAGAUUAAUACCUGAUAGUAUGGUGAGAUUGCAUGAUAGCACCAUUAAAGAUUUAUCGGUGUACGAUGGGGAUGCGUUCCAUUAGGUAGUAGGCGGGGUAACGGCCCACCUAGCCUGCGAUGGAUAGGGGUUCUGAGAGGAAGGUCCCCCACAUUGGAACUGAGACACGGUCCAAACUCCUACGGGAGGCAGCAGUGAGGAAUAUUGGUCAAUGGGCGAGAGCCUGAACCAGCCAAGUAGCGUGAAGGAUGAAGGUCCUACGGAUUGUAAACUUCUUUUAUACGGGAAUAAAGUUUCCUACGUGUAGGAUUUUGUAUGUACCGUAUGAAUAAGCAUCGGCUAACUCCGUG